UGUAACAGAAUGAGACAGCCUUCUGCCA
rnacentral:piRNA from 1 species